GACGAACGCUGGCGGCGUGCUUAACACAUGCAAGUCGAACGGAGCUAUUUAUUUCGGUAGAUAGCUUAGUGGCAAACGGGUGAGUAACGCGUAGGCAACCUGCCCUCAGGAUGGGGACAACGGCCCGAAAGAGCCGCUAAUACCGAAUGACGUAACUCUUCCACAUGGAAGAGAUACUAAAGAUGGGUCAAACCAUCGCCUAAGGAUGGGCCUGCGUCUGAUUAGCCAGUUGGUGAGGUAACGGCUCACCAAAGCGACGAUCAGUAGCCGGUCUGAGGGGAUGAACGGCCACAAUGGGACUGAGACACGGCCCAUACUCCUACGGGAGGCAGCAGUGGGGAAUUUUCCGCAAUGGGCGAAAGCCUGACGGAGCAACGCCGCGUGAGUGAAGAAGGUCUUCGGAUCGUAAAGCUCUGUUGUCGGGGACGAAAGGAAAGGGGAGGCAAUGCCCUUUUCAAGACGGUACCCGACGAG
rnacentral:rRNA from 1 species